GGGGGGGGGGCUCCUGGGGCCUUGCUGAUGUGAACAGCGCAACUUCUUUCUGCCCAAGUAGGGCAGGGAUCCCCCUUUACACAUGAGGAAAUUAAGUUUCAAAGGAGUAAGGGCCCUCCUCUCUGCCCCUGUGUCUGUGGCAGUCAUCACGUAGUCAAUUUCUCUUGCCAACCCAAGACUACCUCAGAAUUCUUUGGGCAGUAACUAUCAUGCAAUCUCACUUGUCAGGUGAAAACCAUUUGUCAUCUGUAUCUGAAGUUAAGUGAAAGGAGAUUCUGGCAGAUCCUCUCCCCAUCCUCCCUCCCCUAGAACAGAAGGAGGAUACUAGAGUGGGAUGUCCUGGGUGACGAAGGCCUUCACCUGGGGAGGAACCAGAGUAUCAGACCCCAACCCCCUUCAGGUACCAACAGGACACAAGCCCAAUGAGGUCACACAGCUAGUCAGGUGCAACUUCCUGACUCCCUGCCAAAGGAUCCUCCCCCACCCAGUCAUUGGGACCAUGUUUCCCACCCCCCAGGAGGCUCACUGGGACCCCUUCCUCCAAACUCACCUCUUUGAGGCGAUUCAGCUGUCAUCCCCCACAGGUCUGCAGAGGGGACAAAAUGGAAUAGAUCAGGAGCCCUCACAUCUACACUCAACCCUAAUUUUACCCUCAUCCCCCAGCUCAGCUUUGGGUUGGGCUAUGGAUUACUCCCUGAAUAGCAGUUCCAAGGUGUGGAGAUGAGGCCUCUUGUGGGCAGAAGGGAGAACUCUGUACAGAUGGGGAAGCUGAGACGUAAUGACACCAGAGGAAAAAGGAGUAAAGCCAGAGACCCGAAGAGCACUUAGCAGCAGACUUAGGGCUCUUGCCUGCACAUCUUACUGACUGCUGACCCACUCCUGAUGCCCAAGAGAAAUGAGCACCCUUUUCCCCUCAGGCAGUAGAGAACUGGGUCUUUAGCCCCUAGAACCUCUGGGUGGAGGCAGACCAGAAGGAAACAGCUCUGUCCUGGGGGCCUCAUUAGAGACACCUGCCAUCUGCUCCUUACCUCACCCCAUGAAGAGCUGGCCCUCUCCGUCGCCUGCGGCCCAGCCCCACAGACCAUCUGGUCUCUUCCCAAAUAAGGAGGGAGGGGUGGACCCCUCCCUGUACUCCCUGAUGUGGAGCUUCCUUCUAGCAGGAGUCCAUACCGCAGGGCUACCUAUUCUAGUCCUCCCUCCUCCUCCCCAUCUUUUUUCAGAGAGAAAACUAAGGCCUAGAGAGGAUCUGUGAUGAUCCACGUCACACAACCCGACAGGGACUUUGGCAGGAGAGGGUGAGGGAACACUUCACAGCCUUGUAGACGGUUCCAGUCGGGCCGGAAGGUGGUGGUGGCUGCCGCGAGUGCCGCGAGGAGCAGCAGCAGGGGCAGCGAAAGCGGCGGGAGGUGCAUUGAAAGCCGGCCGGAGGUGAUCCGAAAACUAGAGGUGAACCGCCCGGCCACAGCGCCACGUCUGGGCCCUCGGGCUGGCCGGGCCCCCGCUGGAGGUCCCGCCCCGCUAGGGACCACGCCCCCAGCUCUCGGUAUCCGCCCCAGGGCCUGCUCGGCGGCCGCCCGAGCGCUGCCGGCAGGGUUUGAGCUCCUCGGCCCUUUGCUUUCCCAGUCCCAAGAGUGUCCACCCUCCCUCUGCUGACCGAGAGCGUGGACUCUCCAACAGGAUGGGGCCAGGCAAUGCCCCCUCACGCCGGCAGGGGGCGCGGGCGAGAUGCGGACAGAGACCGAGUUUCUGGGCCAGACACUCGACUUGAAGAUGGGAAAACUGAGGCCUGGGGAAUCCUCAUCUGUGUCUUUUAUUUCUCUGGAUGAAAUUCCGAUCUACGUUUCCAUUCCCUGGAGCACAAGUUGCGGCAAUGGGAAUAUUACGCCGUACUCUAGGGACUGGGAGAAUAAAAGGGUUAAUACACAUUAGAAAACUCUUUAGAAUAAUGCCUGUCACAGUGCCUCAAAGAGGCCCUAGGAACUGUUUUACAAGUGAGGAAACAGACUUAGAAAGGUAAAACGACUAAGUAGUGGUUCUAGGAUUUGAACCUCAAACAUUCCUGUGUUCACCAAGUCCAAGAUGACUAGGUCAGGGUGCUGCUUCCCUCUUCAAGCCUAAGACAGACACAGAACACUGAUUGCAAUGCUCUUUCUUUGUUUCUUUCUUUCUUAAUGAAUUUAUCACACCUGCA